CAAGAUGAGACACCCCUCCACCUGCACUGCCUUGAUCAGGUUUUAUUUAAAGGUAUCCAUACAUUUGGGAUACCUAUGUACUGCACAGAUUGACUCAUCACUAUCUUAAUGAUCCAUAGAGAGCAGGUCUGGAGGAAGACUUCUCUGGAAACUGACAAACAGGACAAGCACAGUUGGCAGUUUUGACUCAUGGAUAGAUGAGAGCACAUCAACAGGACAGAUGUUGCAGAAGCACAUUUGUUGGACUGAGGUGGAAAAAAGUACUUAGCUACAACAAAAUCCACUGCAACCCUCAAAAUACCUACUCUUGAAUCUGACAUCUGCAAUUGUAGUAUCAUGUGCAAGGAAGCAGAACUAUAGUGCUAAAGUAAUCAAAGAAUGGGGAGAAUUACUAUGUUUAUUGACAGGUGUCUGUGUUUAGGAAGGAGGAAUUCUCUAAUUAACCUUCCCACCCUCUCGUACUAAAUUAUAGGCACGGGCAUUGCCUCAGAGUAUAGUCACUCCACUCCUUUGCCUAUCAGCGGCAGCAAAGGUCUGAGCUCCUCUCAGGGAGUCCAACAGACCAAGAAACCCCAUCCCUGCUGUCUCAUCUUCUGCAGCCCCUGCCUUACAUAAAGCCGUACAUUUAGGACACUCCUCCCCACUUCCAGCUUGCUCCUUCUUCCCUGGCCAGGCAAGUGGAUUGGCCACCCAAUCCCUGGCCUCCCAAGGGGCCUUUUUCUCCAACUCCACCUGCUUCACUAGCCUUUCCACACAGGGCUGCAGCUGUGGAGCUGAUAUCAUCACUAUUCCAUCACCACCAUUCUGCUGCCGCUUGGGCCAUACCCGCCCAUCCUGUUUUCUGCCUCUCUGAGCCCUUCCUGACUUCUGAAAGGUAAUUACUGGGGUUGUCCUGGCAACUGGAGCCCUCUGCUUCUCCGGGCACACUGCCAUUUGACUGGGUGAACAACCCUGUCUCACUGAGGAGGGUAGAAAACCCCGACAACAGGUAAAACUUUUAUUGAUAUGCAAUAAGGAGAAUAACUUCAUCAGAGUAAGUUAUCUUGGUUUAUUAGCAUCAUUGCAUAGGGGAAGCUUUCUCCACAAUGAAAUCUGUAUUGAAUACUGCAGUAUAAUUUAGAACAGUAAAGGUUGUAGACAAAUCCAGCAAGAGAGAUAUGCAUAUAUGUGAAGAUGUGGAUACCUAUGGAUUUAUAUCCCCAUUGCAAUGUGUACCUUAGCCAUAUUGGAAUAGGUUGGAUGUGUCUUUCAGUGCUUUCCAAAAACUGCUAUGGAAAUCAAUUUCAGUGUGCA